UACGGAGGGGGAUCGCGUUAUUCGGAAUUAUUGGGCGUAAAGGGCGCGUAGGCGGCCCGGUAAGUCAAAGGUGAAAUCCCUCGGCUCAACUGAGGAACUGCCUUUGAAACUGUCGGGCUUGAGGCCGGGAGGGGGUAGCGGAAUUCCCAGUGUAGCGGUGAAAUGCGUAGAUAUUGGGAGGAACACCGGUGGCGAAGGCGGCUACCUGGACCGGUUCUGAAGCUGAUGCGAGAAAGCGUGGGUAGAAAACAGGAUUAGAUAACCUCGUAGUCC
rnacentral:rRNA from 1 species